AUGAGACCCUCCUCCUCUUCCUGCCCUCUCCCGCCUCCCCCGACCUGCUCGUCCCGCCUCCCCCAGCUCCGCUGCUUCGUCGGCCUCCGGUGGUCUGCCCCCCGCGUUCAGGUCAGGGGGCAAUUAGACGCGUUUGCAGGAAUUGGCAGUGGUGCGCGUGGAUGCGGUGCGCGAUUCAGAGCGCCUGCUUCCAGUGCGUCCCAACCUUGUUAUAGCUCCACCGUCAUUAGGAACGACAAUUCUCAAAAUGCUGAUUUUCCACGUAACUACUCCAAAAGGGAGAAGAAACCAUUUCCUAUACCAGUACUGGAGUUAAGGCGCCGAGCAAGACAGAGGAUGAAGGAAGCUGAAGGGAAGCCUAGGGGGCCGCCGCCACCUCCGAAAAAUGGAUUGCUGGUCCAGAGACUAAUACCAGAGGCAUACAGAGUGUACAACGCAAGAAUUUUGCUGAUCAACAACUUGAAGAGGCUGAUAAAAGUAGUACCAGUGAAAGGCUGCAAAUAUUGCAGUGAGAUACACGUUGGAUCUGUUGGACACCCUUUCAGAACAUGCCGAGGAAUGUCUUCUGAUAAACGCAAGGGAGAACAUGACUGGGGAAGUACUUUUGUUGAAGCUGUUUUCUUGCCAGUUGAAGCUUACCACCUAGAGGACCGUCUGGGCCCGCGUAUUCCUCAUGACCAGAGGUUUGAGGUGCCCCGCGUUCCUGCUCUUGUGGAGCUUUGCAUCCAAGCUGGUCUCGACCUCCCUGAGUACCCCACAAAACGCCGAAGAAAGCCAAUUGUUAAGAUCGGAAGGAAAGAGUUUGUCGACGCAAAUGAAGAUGACCUGCCUGACCCAGAGCCUGACAAAUUUAAGGAGCCAAUUCUCGAAGAAAUAUCCGACGAUGAGAUUACCCCUCCGUCGAGCCCAGAGGAGACGGCUGCUCUUGCUGAGGAAACACUCGAAGUGUGGGAGACACUCCGGAACGGUGCCUUGAGGUUCAUGAAGAGGUAUUCAGUGAGGGUGUGCGGAUACUGUCCUGAGGUGCACAUUGGAGCGAGUGGUCAUAAAGCGCGCAACUGUGGAGCCUUCAAGCACCAGCAGAGGAAUGGACAGCAUGGGUGGCAGGCGGCGGUGCUCGAUGACCUAAUACCCCCUAGAUACGUCUGGCACAUGCCGGAAUCUGGGGAGUUGCAGAAGGAGCUCAAGAUCUUCUAUGGGCAGGCGCCGGCUGUCGUUGAGAUAUGCAUUCAGGGCGGCGCACAAGUGCCGGAGAAGUACAAAGCCACAAUGAGGCUAGAUAUAGGGAUUCCCUCCAGCUUGAAAGAGGCUGAAAUGGUCGUCUGA
rnacentral:rRNA from 1 species